rnacentral:rRNA from 1 species
CCUACGGGCGGCAGCAGUGGGGAAUAUUGCGCAAUGGGCGAAAGCCUGACGCAGCGACGCCGCGUGAGGGAUGAAGGUCUUCGGAUCGUAAACCUCUGUCAGCAGGGAAGAACGGUCACUGUGCUAAUCAGCAGUGAAUUGACGGUACCUGCAAAGGAAGUACCGGCUAACUCCGGGCCAGCAGCCGCGGUAAUACGGAGGGUGCGAGCGUUGAUCGGAAUGACUGGGCGUAAAGGGCUCGUAGGCGGUAUGUCAAGUCAAGGGUGAAAUGCCCGGGCUCAACGUGGGAACUGCCUUUGAAACUGGCAGACUUGAGUGGGUGAGAGGAUAGUGGAAUGCCAGGUGUAGGAGUGAAAUCCGUAGAUAUCUGGCGGAACAUCAGUGGCGAAGGCGACUAUCUGGCACAUAACUGACGCUGAGGAGCGAAAGCGUGGGUAGCAAACAGGAUUAGAUACCCGAGUAGUC